GUAGGGUGCGAGCGUUAAUCGGAAUUACUGGGCGUAAAGCGUGCGCAGGCGGUUCGUCGUGUCCGAUGUGAAAGCCCCGGGCUCAACCUGGGAAUGGCAUUGGAAACUGGCGGGCUUGGGUGUGGCAGAGGGGGGUGGAAUUCCGCGUGUAGCAGUGAAAUGCGUAGAGAUGCGGAGGAACACCGAUGGCGAAGGCAGCCCCCUGGGCUGACACUGACGCUCAGGCACGAAAGCGUGGGGAGCAAACAGGAUUAGAUACCCUGGUAGUCCACGCCCUAAACGAUGAUCACUGGGUGUUGGGGGAGCGAUCUCCUAGUACCGUAGCUAACGCGUGAAGUGAUCCGCCUGGGGAGUACGGUCGCAAGAUUA
rnacentral:rRNA from 1 species